CUACCAUUAUAAAUUAAUUAAGCUCGAAAACGAGAGUUUUCUGCUCAUCCAUAUUAAUUGCCACUGAAAAAUUGAAAAAACUGUAGAAAAUGAUGUUAUUAUAUUCACCACACAUGGACAGAGUACAAUAUUAAAUACCUUAUUGACUGCUUUUAUUAUUGCUAUAUUUGUGUUUAAAAGCUCAAUUUCAUUAGGCAAAUAUAAAUACCUAAUUAGCCCGCCCAAAAUAAGAAUUGCAUUCAAUAAUAUAACAAUUACAUUAGCCUUGUAAAUUCUCAAAACUUUUGACCAAAUACUUUGUGACUUUUUCUCAUCUUUUUCAUUUCUGAAGCAUGGAAUUGUGUUAAAGCAUACCAGGAUUGCUACUAUAACCAAUAGAAAAGAUAUAAUGCUCAGAUAAGAAUUAAUGAUAAAACUUGCUUGAUAGAACAAGCUUAUCCAGGGAUUCAGCAUGUUAAUAAUUGCAUCGAAUAGGAAAUUGAUUAACAUUGUGUUGAUGUGUUCCCUCACCAGGAUGUUUUGUGUGUUGUCAACUAUACUUGAUAUGAGUUGUUUCCAGUUGAUAGAAUCUGAAAUUUGUUUAUUGUAAUGAUUGGAAAUAUUAUUUUUGAGAUCGGUAGUUGAUAUAAUAGGAUAGACACUAGGGCUUUUUGGGGAUUUGGCUUCAAAACUUUGAUCAAAUUUCCUUGAAGAAUUAAUAAAGUUGCCGAUUUCUUCAGACAUAAAGGUAUAUUGAAUCAUUAUUUGCCUAGUAGUCUUCUUCAACAGAAGUAUUAUUUGGUUAAAAUAGCUUGUCUGAAAGUCCUCCAUUUCAUUUUCUUUAGUUAGAUUCUGAUAAUACUUGUUGUUUAGCCGAAUAAUAUCUAACUUUGAAUAAAUCUCAUCGAUUUGGACUAUGUGUUGUCUUAUAAGGUGUAUUUUUUCC
rnacentral:antisense_RNA from 1 species